rnacentral:tRNA from 1 species
AAAAAGUUAGUUAAAAUAUAAUAUAAGGUUGUCAGCCCUUGAGUCACUNAUAAAAUUUAGUACUUUUUA